rnacentral:rRNA from 1 species
CUAGAAUGCAAGUCGAGCGAGCUUAGGGCUUCGGCCCGAAAGCUAGCGGCGAACGGUCGAGUAACACGUGAGCAACCUGCCCCAGAGUGGGGGAUAGCCCACCGAAAGGUGGAUUAAUACCGCAUGUGGUCCCCGCCGGGCAUCCGGUGGGGAUUAAAGCAGCAAUGCGCUCUGGGAUGGGCUCGCGGCCUAUCAGCUUGUUGGUGGGGUAACGGCCUACCAAGGCUACGACGGGUAGCUGGUCUGAGAGGAUGGUCAGCCGGAUUGGGACUGAGACACGGCCCAGACUCCUACGGGGGGCAGCAAUUAGGAAUCUUGCGCAAUGGGCGAAAGCCUGACGCAGCGACGCCGCGUGACCGAUGAAGUCCUUCGGGAUGUAAAGGUCUUUUGCCAGGGAAGAAGAACGUGACGGUACCUGGCGAAUAAGCCCCGGCUAACUACGUGCCAGCAGCCGCGGUAAGACGUAGGGGGCGAGCGUUGUCCGAAGUCACUGGGCGUAAAGCGCGCGUAGGCGGCCUCUUAAGUUGGGUGUGAAAUCCUGCGGCCCAACCGCAGAACUGCAUCCAAAACUGGGAGGCUUGAGGACGGAAGAGGGCAGUGGAAUUCCUGAUGUAGCGGUGAAAUGCGUAGAUAUCAGGAGGAACACCCGUGGCGAAGGCGGCUGCCUGGUCCGUAUCUGACGCUGAGGUGCGAAAGCCAGGGGAGCGAACGGGAUUAGAUACCCCGGUAGUCCUGGCCCUAAACGAUGGAUACUAGGUGUUAGUGGUAUCGACCCCACUAGUGCCGUAGCUAACGCAUUAAGUAUCCCGCCUGGGGAGUACGGCCGCAAGGUUGAAACUCAAAGGAAUUGACGGGGGCCCGCACAAGCGGUGGAGCAUGUGGAUUAAUUCGAUACAAACCGAAGAACCUUACCUGGGCUUGACAUCCACGAGAAACUCCCUGGAAACAGGGAGCUCGAUGGGAAACCCAUCGACCCGUGACACGGUUGCAUGGCUGUCGUCAGCUCGUGCCGUGAGUGUUGGGUAAGUCCCGCAACGAGCGCACCCCUGUUCU